rnacentral:rRNA from 1 species
GACAGAGGAUGCAAGCGUUAUCCGGAAUGAUUGGGCGUAAAGCGUCUGUAGGUGGCUUUUUAAGUCUGCCGUCAAAUCCCAGGGCUUAACCCUGGACAGGCGGUGGAAACUACCAAGCUGGAGUACGGUAGGGGCAGAGGGAAUUUCCGGUGGAGCGGUGAAAUGCGUUGAUAUCGAUAGGAACUCCGGUGGCGAAGGCGGCAUACUGGACCACCACUGACGCUGAUGCGCGAAAGCCAGGGGAGCAAACGGG